rnacentral:rRNA from 1 species
AUGGACAAAAUGUGCUUACCUUGUAGUCCAACAUUUGCCCUCCCCGUUGUGGAUCGCCUCCACAAGGGCAGUGUAGUUCCAGUUCUUGAUGACAUUGUAAGGUCCAUCGUGGAUCUCCACCUCCAUGGUGUACCCGCCAUUGUUGACCAGGAAGAUUAUGUUGUUCUGUCCGCACCACAACAUAGUCGACACAUCAUGUGCUGUCACCUGCAGACGAUAGAAUUACCCGAACAUCGUAUUAGAAACAGCACGCAGUGCAAACAAAUUGCAGCACACGUCAGCAGAGAUCGGAUCCAGGGAUGUUUCACUUGA